AUUUGGGGGGCUAAGACUUAAAGUGCUCACAAUUUGCUUUUUGGCUUUUUCUCUUUCCUUUAUUGUGUUAUAUAUUUUUUGGGUGCCUGUAAGAAGUUUACAAAGUGAA